CCUACGGGUGGCAGCAGUGAGGAAUAUUGGUCAAUGGGCGCAAGCCUGAACCAGCCAAGCCGCGUGAGGGAAGACGGCUCUAUGGGUUGUAAACCUCUUUUGUAAGGGAACAAAAGCGACUACGAGUAGCCGGAUGAGAGUACCUUACGAAUAAGCAUCGGCUAACUCCGUGCCAGCAGCCGCGGUAAUACGGAGGAUGCGAGCGUUAUCCGGAUUUAUUGGGUUUAAGGGGUGCGUAGGCGGUUUAUUAAGUUAGUGGUAAAAGCCCGGGGCUCAACCCUGACGGGCCGUUUAAACUGGAGUACUAGAGUAGAGGCGAGGUAGGCGGAAUGAGUGGUGUAGCGGUGAAAUGCUUAGAUAUCACACAGAACCCCGAUUGCGAAGGCAGCUUACCAGACUAUUACUGACGCUGAGGCACGAAAGCGUGGGUAGCGAACAGGAUUAGAUACCCGUGUAGUC
rnacentral:rRNA from 1 species